AUUGAACGCUGGCGGCAGGCUUAACACAUGCAAGUCGAGCGAGCGGCGGACGGGUGAGUAAUGUCUGGGAACCUGCCUGAUGGCUGGGGAUAACUCCUUGAAACGGUAGCUAAUACCGCAUACCUUCAGAUGUGCCCAUAUGGGAUUAGCUAGUAGUUAGGGUAAGGGCGCACCUAGUAGACGAUCCCGAGCGGGUCUGCGAGGAUGACCAGCAACAUGGUAAAUGGGACCCGGUCCAGACUCCUACGGGAGGCAGCAGUGGGGAAGAGUGCACAAGGGGCGCAAGCCUGAUGCAGCCAUGCCGCGUGUGUGAAGAAGGCCUUCGGGUGGUAAAGCACUUUCAUCGAGGAGGCGUUACUCGCAGAAGAAGCAACGGCUAACUCCGUGCCAGCAGCCGCGGUAAUAC
rnacentral:rRNA from 1 species